UACGUAGGGGGCAAGCGUUGUCCGGAUUUAUUGGGCGUAAAGAGCGUGUAGGCGGCCAUGCAGGUCCGUUGUGAAAACUCGAGGCUCAACCUCGAGACGCCGAUGGAAACCGCAUGGCUAGAGUCCGGAAGAGGAGAGUGGAAUUCCUGGUGUAGCGGUGAAAUGCGCAGAUAUCAGGAGGAACACCGGUGGCGAAGGCGGGUCUCUGGGCCGAUACUGACGCUGAGGAGCGAAAGCGUGGGGAGCGAACAGG
rnacentral:rRNA from 1 species